UUGAAAGAACAACCCUAGCUCCUUCUCCCUCCUUCCUCUCGGUGGAAUCGCCGCCCCACCUAGUCGCCGGAGUACCGCCGGCUCCAGCUCCCCAGCGUCACCGGUUCACCGGCGAAACCCUCCGCCGUCACCGCCUGCUGCUGCUCUCACCCCCGUCGCUCCCUCUGUCUCUCUCUCUCACUCUCUCUGUGACAGAAACGACUCCUCUUUCCAUCUCUCGCAUUUUCCGGCGAUUUCACCGAUAGGGGAGGGGGUGUCGCCUCUCUUCCACGGCGUCACUUUCUUCCAUGUCGGCCCUCGCUGUCGCUUCGCGCGGACGCCGUCGGCUGUGCAGCGGUGCAUGCAGGCGGUCACGCCUGCCUAGCUCUCCUUGCUGGCGUUUGACACUGUUCGCCACCGUCCAGAGCUGGGCAGCCGCCGCCACCGUCCUUCACGAGUCGCCGUUGCUGUUGCGCUGGACAGCCACCACCUCGCCGACCGAUGUACGGUGGGACAGCCGCUGCUGGAGCUGUUCAGCCGGGGCAACCUGCUGCCCGUGGAGUCCCCGCGGCUGCCCUCCUGGCCUCGCCGUCUACGGUGGUCUCCGAGGGAGCCCCUCGGUCUUAAAGCUACGUUCUUAUACUUCCUUUCAUUACUAAGUAUUUUGUUGAGACUUGGGCAGUAGCUAUGUUGGAGACCUUUUGAUUAUUGUGUUUUGAGGAUGUGAUCUUGGAGAUAAAUUUAGCUCACUGGAAAGAAUCUUUACAUAUAUAUAUGCUACUGUAAAUUUUGCAUUUUGAACAUGAAAACUGAAGUGCUUCUAUCGGCUGAAGUUUUGUUGUAAAAACUUAUAAUUACUGUGUUGUGGUUUAAAGUCUAUCAUGAUGUGCCUAAUAUUUGAUGUUCUAGAAUGGAUGUAAUAAAAUGGAUGUGGUGAUUACCUCUUUGAGUGGCUGGCGGAUUUUGGUUCAAGCUGGUGGUGCAAGGGAGCUCCGUCACUCCUUUCCUUACUAUUACUCUUCUUACUCACUCUCUAACUCUCCUUACUGCUGGAAACUUUGAAGUAUGUGAAAGGGAGUUCAUAUGUAGUGUGGAGGGGUUUUUAUAGGUUGAUUUUGUGUACCUUAGGAGGAGUUUAAUGAGGCUGAUCUUGUUUGGUUUCUUGCCCAGCAUAUCUCUUGUUCUUGAUCCUCAAAGCAGCCUUCUACUUGACACAUUUUGGUGUUACUUGGAGUACUAGGUGUUUGACUAAUUAAUUUAACUUGUUCUCACAUGCUCUCUUAGUACUUUAGUUUUUAUAGCUCUAUUUGUUUGCAAGCUGCAGGAAAUCUCUUACUUCCUUGAUCUCUACUACUCUUGAUUAAAGAAACUUGGUGUUUUGCUUAGGACAAAGGACUUCUCAUUUACUUAUUUUGGUGGUUUGUGUGACUAGGAAAGGCUGAUGUGCAGGCUGUUUUGGAGGUGAGUGCAAGGCAGAUUUGACUUGCUAUUUUUGGAGGAAGAAAACCAUUUGGCUGCCACUUAGCUGUCUCGAAGAGUGGUUCGCUGCCCUGGGCCCGGUGGCCGAUCAGAUACGGGCCGCGACUUUCGGCCCGGAAGAGGAGGCCCGAUGCCAUUUGUUCCAUGCACACUUUUGUCUUUUUAGUUGUUCAUUUUAUUGCCUAUGUAACGCUAUUCGAAAAAUUCGUGAUAUUCUAUAACGUAUUUCC